rnacentral:rRNA from 2 species
GAUGAACGCUAGCGGGAGGCUUAACACAUGCAAGUCGAGGGGCAGCAUAGGGUAGCAAUACUCUGAUGGCGACCGGCAAACGGGUGAGUAACGCGUAUGCAACCUACCCUGUACAGGGGGAUAACCCGGAGAAAUUCGGACUAAUAUCCCGUAAUAAUAUCCGGAGGCAUCUUUGGAUAUUUAAAGUUCCGACGGUACGGGAUGGGCAUGCGUAACAUUAGCUGGUUGGUAAGGUAACGGCUUACCAAGGCUAUGAUGUUUAGGGGUCCUGAGAGGGUGGUCCCCCACACUGGUACUGAGACACGGACCAGACUCCUACGGGAGGCAGCAGUGAGGAAUAUUGGUCAAUGGGCGCAAGCCUGAACCAGCCAUCCCGCGUGCAGGAAGACGGCCCUAUGGGUUGUAAACUGCUUUUCCAGGGAGAGAAACUUACGCACGUGUUGCGUGACUGACGGUACCCUGGGAAUAAGCAUCGGCUAACUCCGUG